rnacentral:rRNA from 1 species
GUAGGGGGCGAGCGUUGUCCGGAUUCAUUGGGCGUAAAGAGCUCGUAGGCGGCUCAGUAAGUCGGUCGUGAAAGCCCGAGGCUCAACCUCGGGACGCCGGUCGAUACUGCUGUGGCUAGGGUCCGGUAGAGGAGAGUGGAAUUCCCGGUGUAGCGGUGAAAUGCGCAGAUAUCGGGAGGAACACCAGUAGCGAAGGCGGCUCUCUGGGCCGGCACCGACGCUGAGGAGCGAAAGCUAGGGGAGCAAACAGGGAUUAGAUACCCUGGUAGUCCUAGCCGUAAACGUUGGGCACUAGGUGUGGCGGAUUCAUUGACAUCUGCCGUGCCGUAGCUAACGCAUUAAGUGCCCCCGCCUGGGAGUACGGUCGCAAGGCUA